UUAAAAAAAAAUGCAAUCGAACCCUGGCCGCCCGCGUGGCAGGCGAGCAUUCUACCACUGAACCACCGAUGCUUUA